rnacentral:siRNA from 1 species
AGUGAUGCUUCUCGACUACUCA